GACGAACGCUGGCGGCAUGCUUAACACAUGCAAGUCGAACGGAAAGUCCCUGCUUGCAGGGUACUCGAGUGGCAAACCGGUGAGUCGCGCGUUGGUGAUCUGCACUGCACUUCGGGAUAAGUCUGGGUAACUGGGUCUAAUACCGGAUAGGAGCCAUUUCUCGUGUGAUUGGUCGCACGUUUUUUCGGUGUAGGGUGAGCUCGCGGCCUAUCAGCUUGUUGGUGGGGUAAUGGCCUAACAAGGCGGCGGCGAGUAGCCGGACCGGGAGGGUGGACAGCAACAUUGAGACUGGGAUUCGGACCAGACUCCGACGGGAGGCAGCAGUAGGGAUGGUGGAUCAAGGGGCGCGAGCCUGAGGCUGCGACGCCGCGGGGGGGAGGACGACCUUCGGGUUGUGGUCGCCAUGCGCUAGGGACGAAGCUGUUUGUGACGGUACCGAGAUAAGAAGCUCCGGCUAACUACGUG
rnacentral:rRNA from 1 species